rnacentral:rRNA from 1 species
CCAUAGGUUAAUGAGGCGAACCGGGGGAACUGAAACAUCUAAGUACCCCGAGGAAAAGAAAUCAACCGAGAUUCCCCCAGUAGCGGCGAGCGAACGGGGAGGAGCCCAGAGCCUGAAUCAGUGUGUGUGUUAGUGGAAGCGUCUGGAAAGGCGUGCGAUACAGGGUGACAGCCCCGUACACAAAAAUGCACAUACUGUGAGCUCGAUGAGUAGGGCGGGACACGUGGUAUCCUGUCUGAAUAUGGGGGGACCAUCCUCCAAGGCUAAAUACUCCUGACUGACCGAUAGUGAACCAGUACCGUGAGGGAAAGGCGAAAAGAACCCCGGCGAGGGGAGUGAAAAAGAACCUGAAACCGUGUACGUACAAGCAGUGGGAGCCUCUUAAUGGGGUGACUGCGUACCUUUUGUAUAAUGGGUCAGCGACUUAUAUUCUGUAGCAAGGUUAACCGAAUAGGGGAGCCGAAGGGAAACCGAGUCUUAACUGGGCGUUAAGUUGCAGGGUAUAGACCCGAAACCCGGUGAUCUAGCCAUGGGCAGGUUGAAGGUUGGGUAACACUAACUGGAGGACCGAACCGACUAAUGUUGAAAAAUUAGCGGAUGACUUGUGGCUGGGGGUGAAAGGCCAAUCAAACCGGGAGAUAGCUGGUUCUCCCCGAAAGCUAUUUAGGUAGCGCCUCGUGAAUUCAUCUCCGGGGGUAGAGCACUGUUUCGGCAAGGGGGUCAUCCCGACUUACCAACCCGAUGCAAACUGCGAAUACCGGAGAAUGUUAUCACGGGAGACACACGGCGGGUGCUAACGUCCGUCGUGAAGAGGGAAACAACCCAGACCGCCAGCUAAGGUCCCAAAGUCAUGGUUAAGUGGGAAACGAUGUGGGAAGGCCCAGACAGCCAGGAUGUUGGCUUAGAAGCAGCCAUCAUUUAAAGAAAGCGUAAUAGCUCACUGGUCGAGUCGGCCUGCGCGGAAGAUGUAACGGGGCUAAACCAUGCACCGAAGCUGCGGCAGCGACACUAUGUGUUGUUGGGUAGGGGAGCGUUCUGUAAGCCUGUGAAGGUGUACUGUGAGGUAUGCUGGAGGUAUCAGAAGUGCGAAUGCUGACAUAAGUAACGAUAAAGCGGGUGAAAAGCCCGCUCGCCGGAAGACCAAGGGUUCCUGUCCAACGUUAAUCGGGGCAGGGUGAGUCGACCCCUAAGGCGAGGCCGAAAGGCGUAGUCGAUGGGAAACAGGUUAAUAUUCCUGUACUUGGUGUUACUGCGAAGGGGGGACGGAGAAGGCUAUGUUGGCCGGGCGACGGUUGUCCCGGUUUAAGCGUGUAGGCUGGUUUUCCAGGCAAAUCCGGAAAAUCAAGGCUGAGGCGUGAUGACGAGGCACUACGGUGCUGAAGCAACAAAUGCCCUGCUUCCAGGAAAAGCCUCUAAGCAUCAGGUAACAUCAAAUCGUACCCCAAACCGACACAGGUGGUCAGGUAGAGAAUACCAAGGCGCUUGAGAGAACUCGGGUGAAGGAACUAGGCAAAAUGGUGCCGUAACUUCGGGAGAAGGCACGCUGAUAUGUAGGUGAAGUCCCUCGCGGAUGGAGCUGAAAUCAGUCGAAGAUACCAGCUGGCUGCAACUGUUUAUUAAAAACACAGCACUGUGCAAACACGAAAGUGGACGUAUACGGUGUGACGCCUGCCCGGUGCCGGAAGGUUAAUUGAUGGGGUUAGCGGUAACGCGAAGCUCUUGAUCGAAGCCCCGGUAAACGGCGGCCGUAACUAUAACGGUCCUAAGGUAGCGAAAUUCCUUGUCGGGUAAGUUCCGACCUGCACGAAUGGCGUAAUGAUGGCCAGGCUGUCUCCACCCGAGACUCAGUGAAAUUGAACUCGCUGUGAAGAUGCAGUGUACCCGCGGCAAGACGGAAAGACCCCGUGAACCUUUACUAUAGCUUGACACUGAACAUUGAGCCUUGAUGUGUAGGAUAGGUGGGAGGCUUUGAAGUGUGGACGCCAGUCUGCAUGGAGCCGGCCUUGAAAUACCACCCUUUAAUGUUUGAUGUUCUAACGUUGGCCCCUGACCGGGGUUGCGGACAGUGUCUGGUGGGUAGUUUGACUGGGGCGGUCUCCUCCUAAAGAGUAACGGAGGAGCACGAAGGUUGGCUAAUCCUGGUCGGACAUCAGGAGGUUAGUGCAAUGGCAUAAGCCAGCUUGACUGCGAGCGUGACGGCGCGAGCAGGUGCGAAAGCAGGUCAUAGUGAUCCGGUGGUUCUGAAUGGAAGGGCCAUCGCUCAACGGAUAAAAGGUACUCCGGGGAUAACAGGCUGAUACCGCCCAAGAGUUCAUAUCGACGGCGGUGUUUGGCACCUCGAUGUCGGCUCAUCACAUCCUGGGGCUGAAGUAGGUCCCAAGGGUAUGGCUGUUCGCCAUUUAAAGUGGUACGCGAGCUGGGUUUAGAACGUCGUGAGACAGUUCGGUCCCUAUCUGCCGUGGGCGCUGGAGAACUGAGGGGGGCUGCUCCUAGUACGAGAGGACCGGAGUGGACGCAUCACUGGUGUUCGGGUUGUCAUGCCAAUGGCACUGCCCGGUAGCUAAAUGCGGAAGAGAUAAGUGCUGAAAGCAUCUAAGCACGAAACUUGCCCCGAGAUGAGUUCUCCCUGACUCCUUGAGAGUCCUGAAGGAACGUUGAAGACGACGACGUUGAUAGGCCGGGUGUGUAAGCGCAGCGAUGCGUUGAGCUAACCGGUACUAAUGAACCGUGAGGCUUAACCUU